rnacentral:rRNA from 1 species
UACGGGGGGAGCAAGCGUUGUUCGGAUUUACUGGGCGUAAAGGGCGCGUAGGCGGCCACGACAAGUCACUUGUGAAAUCUCCGGGCUUAACCCGGAACGGUCAAGUGAUACUGUCGGGCUAGAGUGCAGAAGGGGCAACUGGAAUUCUCGGUGUAGCGGUGAAAUGCGUAGAUAUCGAGAGGAACACCUGCGGCGAAGGCGGGUUGCUGGGCUGACACUGACGCUGAAACGCGAAAGCUAGGGGAGCGAACGGG